UGAUGUUUCAAAUCAAUUUGCAUAUAAUUGCGCAGUUAUUGAAUAAUUUUUUUUUUAAAUUUUCAUAGAAUUGGAUUUUCUUUUUUUUAUUAGUUUAUGCAUUUUAGAUUAGUCCGGCAUGUCAUUUGUUUCUUUCAUCCAGCCAUUUGUAUUUGAUGAUUUGAGAUGCUUGACACUUAUUCCCUUUUUUUUUUUAAAUGUUUUAUUGUGCUUUAUGGAUUUUGUCUGUUUUGAUAUUGAUAUUCUUGACUGGAUUAUAGUUGAUAGGUUCAGUUAUGACGGUGGACAAUUUUAGUGAAAAAAACUGUUUAAUACUUGGACAUGGAAUUUCUUGAAUACCAUAUUGUUUUUCUGGCAAAAUUGCUCUUUUAAAAUAUCAUUUACAUAUUAGGGUAAACUUCUUUUCCAGAAUAGGCUCUAUCCUAUCCUGCCUUGCUUUUUAUUUAAAAUCCAUUGAACAUUGCAAUUUUCUAGUCUUCUUUUCCCCUUGAAAAGGGAAAGCUCGUAGUGUAACAAAAGUUGUUUGGUAGUGUACACAACACAUCUGACCAAAAUGUUGGGUGGAAAGAAGGUUUUAAAGCGUUUGAUGGCUUUUUCAUGGAUUAACAAAACCACAAAAGGAAGAAAGCUAUUUUAUUUGCAGUGUAGUUCCAAAUUCUAUGCCUUUCCAAAUAUGUAAUUUUUUCCUCCAGUUCCUCAUUAUGUCAAUUGUGGGAAUUUUCCUCAUAGAAAAAGGGACUUCUCUCAUGUACUCUGGGAAAGCUCACUAAUUUUGGAUAAUGUAAUCUUAUACCUUCUUGUACAGGUGCACCAAUUGCAGGAUCUG
rnacentral:misc_RNA from 1 species